rnacentral:rRNA from 1 species
GUCUGCUUGAACUUUUAAGCAGUCUAGCCUGCCCACUGAAUAAUUUAAAGGCCGCGGUAUAUUGACCGUGCAAAGGUAGCAUAAUAAUUAGUCUUUUAAUUGAAGACUAGAAUGAAAGGCUGAACAAAAAGCAACCUCUCUCAUUUUUUUUUAUUGAACUUAACUUUUAAGUGAAAAGGCUUAAAUAAUCUAGGGGGACGACAAGACCCUAUAAAACUUCAUAUUUUAACUAUAAAUUAAAAAAUUUCUGUAUAAAAUAACCUAUUUUUUAAAAUAUUUUGUUGGGGCGACAAAAGUAUAACUUCUAACUGCUUUUUCUCUUAUACAAAUAUAUUUGUUUAAUUGAUCCCUUAAAGGAUUUUAAGAAAAAGUUACUUUAGGGAUAACAGCGUAAUUUUUUUUAAGAGUCCGUAUCGACAAAAAAGUUUGCGACCUCGAUGUUGAAUUAAAAUCUCCUUAUAGUGCAGCAAUUAUAAAGGAAGGUCUGUUCGACCUUUAAAUUUUUACAUGAUUUGAGUUCAAACCGGUGUGAG